rnacentral:rRNA from 1 species
AGUAACCUGCCUUGGAGUGGGGAAUAACAGCUGGAAACAGCUUAGCUAAUACCGCAUAAUAUGUCUGAAUCGCAUGGUUCUGGACAUCAAAGAUUUAUCGCUCUGAGAUGGACUCGCGUCUGAUUAGCUGGUUGGCGGGGUAACGGCCCACCAAGGCGACGAUCAGUAGCCGGACUGAGAGGUUGGCCGGCCACAUUGGGACUGAGACACGGCCCAGACUCCUACGGAAGGCAGCAG